rnacentral:misc_RNA from 1 species
GUGAGUCAUCGAAUCUUUGAACGCAAAUUGCGCUCUUUGGUAUUCCGAAGAGCAUGCUUGUUUGAGUAUCAGUAAACACCUCAACUUCUUUUUUUCUUGUGAAAAAAAGGAGCUGGAUUUGAGCAAACCCAACAUUUUUUUCUACAAAAAGUGGCGGGUUGCUUGAAAUGCAGGUGCAGCUGUAACAAGAACAGACUGAGCUAAAAGCAUAUCUAUUUGAUCCGUCUCGGCGGGCCAUCUCUAUUUGCUGCAGCUACUCUAAGGUCAUCUUGUCGAGCUGACUGAUGCAGGAUUUGUCAG